CCUACGGGAGGCAGCAGUGGGGAAUAUUGCACAAUGGGCGCAAGCCUGAUGCAGCCAUGCCGCGUGUGUGAAGAAGGCCUUCGGGUUGUAAAGCACUUUCAGCGGGGAGGAAGGCGUUAAGGUUAAUAACCUUGGCGAUUGACGUUACCCGCAGAAGAAGCACCGGCUAACUCCGUGCCAGCAGCCGCGGUAAUACGGAGGGUGCAAGCGUUAAUCGGAAUUACUGGGCGUAAAGCGCACGCAGGCGGUCUGUCAAGUCGGAUGUGAAAUCCCCGGGCUCAACCUGGGAACUGCAUUCGAAACUGGCAGGCUAGAGUCUUGUAGAGGGGGGUAGAAUUCCAGGUGUAGCGGUGAAAUGCGUAGAGAUCUGGAGGAACACCGGUGGCGAAGGCGGCCCCCUGGACAAAGACUGACGCUCAGGUGCGAAAGCGUGGGGAGCAAACAGGAUUAGAUACCCCGGUAGUC
rnacentral:rRNA from 1 species